rnacentral:miRNA from 1 species
UUACUUGCUUUAACAGUAUG